rnacentral:sRNA from 1 species
UUUCAAGGAACGCAGACUGAGAGCGCCACGUCCUGUGGCAACGUCUGCAUGACCCUCAUCCUGGGGG